AUUGAACGCUGGCGGCAUGCCUUACACAUGCAAGUCGAACGGCAGCACGGGAGCAAUCCUGGUGGCGAGUGGCGAACGGGUGAGUAAUGCAUAGGAAUCUGCCUAUUAGUGGGGGAUAACGUUCGGAAACGGACGCUAAUACCGCAUACGUCCUACGGGAGAAAGCAGGGGACCUUCGGGCCUUGCGCUAUCAGAUGAGCCUAGGUCGGAUUAGCUAGUUGGUGAGGUAAUGGCUCACCAAGGCGACGAUCCGUAACUGGUCUGAGAGGAUGAUCAGUCACACUGGAACUGAGACACGGUCCAGACUCCUACGGGAGGCAG
rnacentral:rRNA from 1 species